rnacentral:piRNA from 1 species
UGAGACACUGUGCCUGGCCUAACUGA